rnacentral:rRNA from 1 species
GAUGAACGCUAGCGGGAGGCUUAAUACAUGCAAGUCGAGCGCUCUCUUCGGAGGGAGCGGCGGACGGGUGAGUAACGCGUGGGAACGUACCCUUUUCUAAGGAAUAGCCACUGGAAACGGUGAGUAAUACCUUAUACGCCCUUCGGGGAAGAUUUAUCGGAGAAGGAUCGGCCCGCGUUAGAUUAGGUAGUUGGUGGGGUAAGUGGCCUACCAAGCCUACGAUCUAUAGCUGGUUUUAGUAGGAUGAUCAGCCACACUGGGACUGAGACACGGCCCAGACUCCUACGGGAGGCAGCAGUGGGGAAUCUUAGACAAUGGGCGCAAGCCUGAUCUAGCCAUGCCGCGUGUGUGAUGAAGGCCUUAGGGUCGUAAAGCACUUUCGCCAGAGAUGAUAAUGACAGUAAUCUGGUAAAGAAACCCCGGACUAACUCCGUGCCAGCAGCCGCGGUAA